UACGUAGGGUGCAAGCGUUGUCCGGAAUUAUUGGGCGUAAAGAGCUCGUAGGCGGUCUGUUGCGUCGGCUGUGAAAACCCGGGGCUCAACUCCGGGCCUGCAGCCGAUACGGGCAGACUAGAGUUCGGCAGGGGAGACUGGAAUCCCUGGUGUAGCGGUGAAAUGCGCAGAUAUCAGGAGGAACACCGGUGGCGAAGGCGGGUCUCUGGGCCGAUACUGACGCUGAGGAGCGAAAGCGUGGGGAGCGAACAGG
rnacentral:rRNA from 1 species